AUUCUUUGGUUCAUAAGUGUGAUGACUGAGUGUUCAUGCUAUUGUGUGAGAUGUGCCUCCCUCUAAACCUUGUUUAGAGACAUCUGCACAUUACCCAUCUGAAU
rfam:Ictidomys tridecemlineatus contig051370, whole genome shotgun sequence.